rnacentral:rRNA from 1 species
AUUGAACGCUGGCGGCAUGCCUUACACAUGCAAGUCGAACGGCAGCACGGGAUUCAGGCAACUGAGCCCUGGUGGCGAGUGGCGAACGGGUGAGUAAUGCAUCGGAACGUGCCCAGUAGUGGGGGAUAACUAGUCGAAAGAUUAGCUAAUACCGCAUACGACCUAUGGGUGAAAGCGGGGAUUUCGGGCAACCGAGAACCUCGCGCUAUCGGAGCGGCCGAUGUCUGAUUAGCUAGUUGGCGGGUAAAAGCCACAAGGCUUCGAUCAGUAGCUGGUCUGAGAGGACGACCAGCCA